GGCUUUAUAGUCAAUAAUGAUAUUAGACUGCAAUUCUAAAGGAGUAAAUAAAAAUUACUAAGGCUU
rnacentral:tRNA from 1 species